ensembl:snoRNA SNORA65 small nucleolar RNA, H/ACA box 65
CCCGCCACUGCACCUGACCAGGUCUCUGUUGGCUGGUGCAAUCCAGUGGUGAGCUGAUAGUAAACCCCAGCUUAGGAAACAGGGUGGUUCUUCAUGUGGAUGACUCUGUGCCGAAAGCAUGGGAACAGCC